CUUCUCAUUUCCCUGUUAUUUCCCUUUCUUAAAUAUUCUAAUAGGUAUUAGAUCCCCAAUUUGGGACAUUAAUUUAUUUCAUAAAUGUGAUUACUAUUUUUACUAAAUGCACAUACAAACAAAAACCAACAUGAUGCACAAAUUUUUUAGGUAUUAUUAGUUAAGUACUUGCUUUUAAAUGUGAUGUUCACUUGUUUAGUUGAACAAUGGCAAAACACAUAAGAAAAUUCUUUCCUCUAAUAUAGUUUACACAUUUGGGUACUACAUGGGCGCUGGUCUGCACUCAGUCACUCGCCUCGAGCAGUCCUCCCUCCUCCGACUCGUCCAGGUCUAGCCCUAGCUCCAUCUCUCCACUGCUCCAUCGACGACGACCGCUCCAUUUCUCCACGACGAUGCUCCACCGAUCUAUCUCUCUACGACGACGACUCCACCGCUCGGGUAGAUGGGUAGGUCCCUCGAUCGCAGACCGCCACAACCCUAGUCCACGGCGACCGCUCCACCGCUCCAGCGACCCGACCAGCUCCAUCUCUCCACGGCGACCGCUCCACCUCUCCACGACGACGGUCGCAGGCAGCCAGCGGCGCGCAGCACGGCAGGAGGCAGGCCCACACUGUCCUGACCUUCGUGGCUUGCUAACUGUUGAGGGUUUGACACCGACCAGGGCCUAACGCUAUGAGAAUACACAUGCUGCAUUUCCCUAAUUCAAAAUUUUGAUACUAACUGCUAGAAUAGUUCAAGAUGUAGCAACAUAAACAUUCUCCUAUUUCAAAAACAUACAGAGUUGUGUAUUUUUUCUUCUUUUUAAACUGUAG
rnacentral:lncRNA from 7 species